UACGUAGGGUGCAAGCGUUGUCCGGAAUUAUUGGGCGUAAAGAGCUCGUAGGCGGUCUGUCGCGUCGGAUGUGAAAUCCCAGGGCUCAACCCUGGGCCUGCAUUCGAUACGGGCAGACUAGAGUUCGGUAGGGGGAGACUGGAAUUCCUGGUGUAGCGGUGAAAUGCGCAGAUAUCAGGAGGAACACCGGUGGCGAAGGCGGGUCUCUGGGCCGAAACUGACGCUGAGGAGCGAAAGCGUGGGGGAGCAAACAGG
rnacentral:rRNA from 1 species